UAUCGACUCUACUGAUUGUA
rnacentral:misc_RNA from 1 species